rnacentral:rRNA from 1 species
GACGAACGCUGGCGGCGUGCUUAACACAUGCAAGUCGAACGAAGUGGCGAACGGGUGAGUAACGCGUAAUCAACCUGCCCUUCAGAGGGGGACAACAGUUGGAAACGACUGCUAAUACCGCAUACUGAAGGAGGGGAUUGCGGCUGAUUCGCUAGUUGGAGGGGUAACGGCCCAGCAAGGCGAUGAUCAGUAGCCGGUCUGGGAGGGUGAACGGCCACAUUGGGACUGGUGCACGGCCCAGACUCCUACGGGAGGCAGCAGGGGGGAAUCUUCCGCAAUGGACGAAAGGCUGACGGAGCAACGGCGCGGGAGUGAUGACGGCCUUCGGGUUGUAAAGCUCUGUUAAUCGGGACGCGGUACCGGAAUAGAAAGCCACGGCUAACUACGUGCCAGCAGCCGCGGUAAUAC